GAGUUUGAUCGUGGCUCAGAGUGAACGCUGGCGGUAGGCCUAACACAUGCAAGUCGAACGGCAGCACAGAGGAGCUUGCUCCUUGGGUGGCGAGUGGCGGACGGGUGAGGAAUACAUCGGAAUCUACUCUGUCGUGGGGGAUAACGUAGGGAAACUUACGCUAAUACCGCAUACGACCUACGGGUGAAAGCAGGGGAUCUUCGGACCUUGCGCGAUUGAAUGAGCCGAUGUCGGAUUAGCUAGUUGGCGGGGUAAAGGCCCACCAAGGCGACGAUCCGUAGCUGGUCUGAGAGGAUGAUCAGCCACACUGGAACUGAGACACGGUCCAGACUCCUACGGGAGGCAGCAGUGGGGAAUAUUGGACAAUGGGCGCAAGCCUGAUCCAGCCAUACCGCGUGGGUGAAGAAGGCCUCGGUUGG
rnacentral:rRNA from 1 species